UUGUACCAAUGUAGCCCCUGAUGUGUUUGCAAUAGAGAAAGACUUUGGAAGAGUUAGGGUAUAUAGCCAAUGUGGGAACCCUGAAUUAGUUUAGCAGGCGAUCGACAAUUGCCCUGUGGACUGCAUUCAUUGGACAUCUGCUGCACAACUAUCAUUACUUGAAGAUGAAAUGCGUCGAAUAGAAAGAGUCAACGUAAGGCCUUUACUAUAAAGUUUUUGUGGAUAGUGCUGGGCUAGUUCUCAAUGGGAAAAGAGAUAAUCGAAAGUCUUGUCAGGAGAUGCCAAGAUCAACUUUAUGU